CCUCCUUUCUAAGGAAAUCGAAAAUAAUAUUUUCGAUUUAAAAAAAACCGGUAAUGUGACCGUCCUCAUUUCUCUUCUUUUAAUGUCUCUGAGUAAAAAUAAUGUAAGGGGCCGGUAGCUCAGGUGGUUAGAGCGCACCCCUGAUAAGGGUGAGGUCGGAAGUUCGAAUCUUCCUCGGCCCACCAAUAUUAUGGGGGAUUAGCUCAGCUGGGAGAGCGCCUGAUUUGCAUUCAGGAGGUCAGCGGUUCGAUCCCGCUAUCCUCCACCAAAAUUUGAGACAUUUAGCUUUUUUAAAUUGUGAAUAAUUUUAUUAUCAAUAUCUAUAUCCGAUUGUUUUCAUAUAUUUUUUUGAAAACAAUCAAAACAAAAAUUUGAAUUUUACACAGAAAGUUUUUUUCUGUGCAUAAAUCAAGCGUUUAAGGGCGAUUGGCGGAUGCCUUGGCACUGUAAGACGAUGAAGGACGUGGUAUACUGCGAUAAGUUUCGGGGAGCUGUAUGCAAGCUUUGAUCCGAAGAUUCCGAAUGGGG
rnacentral:misc_RNA from 1 species